AUGAGUAAGGUUUAGAAGUUGAUGCUCAUUUGGAAGGAUGUUUAGGUGUUCUUCGACCCUUUCUUGUUGCCCAGAAACAUAAGGAUGAUCCUAAAAUCCAUCGUGGGCGAAUUUUUCAGACAAGGGUCAUAUGUGCGGAACAUGUGUGCUCUCUUAACGGAUGUUAUCUCUGAGGAAGCAGUUAAGAAACUUGGGUUAACAGUUGAGCCUCACCCGGAGCCGUUUAAU
rnacentral:lncRNA from 1 species